AGCGGUGCUUUCUGGGAACUGUAGUCUUCUUGCGUACUGGAGGGAUACCGAGGCAACCGUCGGAACUACAAUGCCCAAAAGGCCCCAAGUCGGACGCGCCCAGAGUGAAGGAGCAAAGGGGACUCGGCCGCCAUGUUAGGAGUACUGGGACGAUUCCGCGGAGCCGGGCAGAGGUUUUAGGGGAAUGAUUAACAAAGGCGUCCGAAGAAAUCGUUGUUGGAAGGUGGCCAAGCUGGAAAGAAACGUUGCUUUGGCCCUGCAAGUAAGAAGAGAGAAGGAACAGCCUGAAGGAGUAACACUAAAUUUAAAAUGACACUUUUUUACCAACCAGCGAAAACAGAUGUUCAAAGGGGAUAUUGGCCAGAGUCUGUCACACUAAGAUGAGAAAUGUCGUUUCUUCCUGAAGGUGUCUGAUGUGUAAAAAUACUGAUAUACUUUGUGCUGUUUCCUCCCUUCCCUUUUGCACAUUAAUCUGAAACAAAAUUAACUAGUUAUUUUGCGUCAUUGAAGAAACUCACUUUGAGGCCAAGCGUGGUUGCUCAGGCCUGUAAUUCCAGCACUUCAGGAGGCAGAGGCAGGUGGAUCACCUGAGGUCAGGAGUUGGAGACCAGCCUGGCCAACAUGACGAAACCCUGUCUCUACUAAAACUACAAAAAUUAGCCUGGCAUGGUGGCACACACCUGUAAUUCUAGCUGCUCGGGAGGCUGAAGCACGAGAAUCACUUGAACCUGGGAGGCAGAGGUUGCAGUGAGCCGAGGUUGCAGUGAAUCAAGAUCACACCGCUGCACUCCAGCCUGGGCAAUAGAGUGAGACUCCGUCUCAAGAAGAAGAAAAAGAAAAAAACCCACUUUGAGCUCUGCUAGACCAUUGUCCUUGUAUGUGAAAUUUUAUCUGGAUAGAAGAAGAUGAGGAAAAAAAAUUUUCUUGUCUUUUAGUGGAGGAGAAUGACGUGUAAAACAAGUAUUCUUUAAAAAUUCCAAAUAUGGUAGGAGAACUACCCCAUAAAGUUGUGAAGGUCAAAUUGGUGAAAGGAAAACUAAGUGCUGUGUAAAUUACAAGGUUUUCGAAGUAUCCACCUGGUCCUUACCUUGCUAUAGAAUUUUUUCUUUUUUUUUUUUUUUUGAGAUGGAGUCUCGCUCUCUCGCCCAAGCUGGAGUGCAGUGGCGCAAGCUCCACUUACUGCAAGCUCCGCCUCCUGGGUUCACACCAUUCUCCUGCCUCAGCCUCCCGAGUAGCUGGGAUUACAGGUGCCCACCACCACG